AGAAAUUUAAAUAUUUGGUAGCAGUUGUUUACUAACUUUUUCCUAACAUGGUCUCUUAGUAUUUAAAAAAGGUCUAUAAAUAAUGUUUAAGCAGUAAAAUUGUAUGGGUGAUAAAAUAACAAAUAUCAUUUAAAACAAAGACUAUUAUAAAGGUACUUAGUAACAUUCCACUAGUAGAUAUUAACAGAGCUGGCCAACUUAACAGACAUUUAUAAAACAGCAGCUUCACUUAAAUGUUAAACCAAAGCCAAGAGAAACUUGCUACGUAAGAGAAUUCAACGAUAAGUUUCUCUCUAACAGUGACAGCUUUUCCUGAAGUUCUCUUUGGUUAUUUAACAUUUUCAGAUUGGCACUAGAAGACAGGCUAGUGUCUAGUCUAAUCUACUAUUAUUUUCACCAAGAUAUUAAAAAUAAAAUCUAAAAAUUGUAAGAAUAAAAGAACCAACCAAGAAUUCCUCGCCAAAUUGGCUCAACCCAAAAGUCAAAAUCAAUUGGUUUCCAGAGAGUGGCCGAAACAGCCAAUGGCGAUGCGAAUUUUUCACAAUGCUGGCCAACUAAAUGUAAAAGGCCAAAUUGUGCAUGAAAAGCCCAGACGGAGACCCAAGACCCGACUGGACGAGACAUACAAACGUGCAUAAAUAUGUAACCUUUGUGUAUCCUCGAGUCAUUCGAAAUUUGCACAAAUGAAAAUUGUGGCAGUAAAUUGAAUUACCCAAAACAGCAGCAGUGGAAGUGGAUGUGGCAGUGGGCAGCAACAACAGGAGCAGCCGUGACUACCGCAGUGAAAACAAAACAAUAAAGGCGACGGGAAAAGGAAUAAAAGUGGAAAGGCCUAAACCGGCCUUCUGUCUCUCUUCUCCUCAUCCAACCCAAACUCCCGGCUUCUUUAUCCACCCCUUGGCCCAAAAGACAUCUCUGUUUCAAAACAAAUAACUUGGCUCGUUUGGGGCCAAGCUAAAAAAAAAACAACGUGGAAAACCUAGUGGCAGGAUUUGUUUCAAGUUUCUGGUCCGUAAGAUACCUGAUAGGAUAGCUACACGAACUUAGGAUAACUAUUAUGAUCUUUAGGAAUAAAAUAAAAUAAAAUAAAGUAAGGAAAUCCUUAACUUACUGACUUUUCGUAGAUAAAGAUACCUGCGUUGCAAACUUACUUAUAAAAUAAGAAGACCCACUGCAAGGGUACAAAAAUAAACUGUAGCCGUCACUAACUGCAAAGUCAAAUGAAAUCCUUAGGGACUGACUUGCUCCCCGCCAGCCCUUGUUGUCACAUUAGCCACGCCACGCUGUGCGUCCUUAAUGAGCAUCGCAGACAUAUGCCACGGGAUGUCAGGACCUGAGGCCUUGGAGACCCUUCGCUCUCAGCCUGCGGAAGAUGGCUGUCGGCCGGGGCCAGAGGUCGCGAACCAUGCCCUGGAUGUUUUUAUGGGUCCCAUCACUACGCGUCCAACAAAAAUUACUAUGCUUAGGAUAUCCUUGAAUGGCAACUGCAAAGGAAAAGGAAAAAACCGGAGAGCUUCGGGGUAGUGGUUGAGGUCUGGACCCACGGACACCACGCCAUAUGUAAAUGUCUUUAUUCUUGGUAAGACAAAAAGUCUUUUUUUGGGAGGAUUUGUCCCACUAAAGAACAUAUGGUGGUUAUAAAAGAAAUGUCUAAAAACAUAUAUUUAAAUUGACAAAAUGUCACCAAACUUCACAAUAGAACUUAAAUUCUGAUUCUAAUCCUGAUUAAAGUUUCAAAUCCCAUACGUGAGUGCUGACCAAAGAGCACUCUGUAACCUCCGCCAAUCUGCGACCUCAAAAUCAACGCCAUAUCGUUGUCACCCUAAUGGCCCCGCGUUGGAAAUCAGUUCAAAAUAACUUGGUGGUGGCGUUAGUCCCCUUUUAAACACCCUCUCCGUUAAAAGAACAAAUAGUUUUUAUAUUAAUUUUUUUAUAUUGUAUUAUAAUUAUAAUGGUGGAGAGAAAACUGUGAAUUGAUGGAAGGAAAACAGCUACCAGACCAGCGAGAAAAAGAAGUCCCGAAAAAAAUAAUUUUAAAAAAUCAAAGCUUUGCCUGCCACAUUUUCUCUAUGGUUCUCGCAAAAUUGUAUUUUUGGCUUCCCGUUCCAGUUGCGAGUCCCGAGACAAGAAGUUUUCUAAACAAAUUGCAGAUGCAUUUCGACAUUGUGUUGGUCUUUGGGCAUGAGUGCCACAAAUGUUUCUGACGUCAGCAUCCACCCAGAAAAACCAUUACAUUUGAAUGAAAACUCAUAUGUGAAAGAGGAAAACAAAAAUAUUUAAGAAAAUAAUUAAAAAUUACUUUACAGUCGCAGUAAAGUUUUAUAAAAUGUAUACAAGUUUUAGAUAAAAUACAAAGGCUUGAUUGUUUCGCAUCUACAUAUAUUACUUCUUUUUACAAUUUUUUCAUUUAAUUUUUUUGUUAGUUUUGAAAACCAAAGUAUUUUGCAGCUUUUGUUCUGUUUGUUUCCCCUGUAGUUUUGCUCGAUUUGCGGCAAAUUAAGUUGGCCUGGCCAGCAGACCAUGCUCGUCCAUUGGAGUACUCCCAGCACCACCCACCCACCAUCAGCAGCCACUAGAUGUUCACGCCAUAUCGUCCGGGGCUAGGGUUGACGUUACGCGGGGUCUGUGGGGUUCGUUUGGGUCUGGGGGUCUGGGGUCUGGCUGCUGCCCAAAAAUGCAAUAAAAUUAAAUGUUUUCGUAUAAAAAAAAACUUUAUGACUUUGUGUUUAUGUUCGGAACACGCUCGACGCUCCGACUCCCGGGCCUCGGAGAAUCGCGAUCCGAGACUGUAGACGGGGCAGACUUUAGACGACUCUCGCAGUCCUCAUGAUGGUGUUGUUGCUUUUAGACUUUCGGUUGGACGCUUGGCCUGCUUUAGUUUCUGCGGC